GCCUCAUUGGUGUAGUGGUAGAGCACGCGUUCCCGGAUGGGAUGAAAAGUGGGUUUAAUUCCCGCCUGAGGUC